AUGCUCAUCUCUCAGCUGGACAGUGUCAGUGGUGUGACUGUGGUGACACAGAAGCCUCCUGUUGUGAUGGAGAGGAAAGGAGAGACAGCCUCUCUGGACUGUAACCUGGGGCCUUCUGGAAUCACUGUGGUAUUCGGACAAGGAACCAAGCUCAUUGUCAGUGACUCUACCCUCCCUCCGCCUGUCUUGACCAUCCUCCCUCCGUCCAGCGAUGAGUUGAAGUCCAACAAAGUCACCCUGGUGUGUCUGGCCAGUCAGAUGGCCAUGGGCUACGCCGAUGUCAGCUGGACCGCUGGCGGGAAUCCGGUCACCGCCGACAUCGCGACGAGUGGCCCGGUGCCGCAAGCCGACAAGACGUUCCAACUCAGUAGUUGUCUGACCGUUGACACGUCAGAAUGGAACCAGGACAAAGUGUUCUCAUGUAAAGUCACCGCGGGCUCCAAGUUCGCUGAGAAAGACAUCAAGAAGUCUGAAUGUAGCACUGAAUAGCCUGAGAACCAUUGUAAUGUCAAUUUGAUUUUCUACAUCACUUUUCAAGUUAUUAUUAAUUCAUUAGAAGUUUAACCUGCAUAUAUACAUUAUGUUCCAUUAAAGAGAGAAAUAUCCACUAAUACUGAUAUCGUUGGCUAUAUGAUAUACUUUUUAGUAUACUUUUUAUAAUUUAAAUGGGUUGCUUUGCAGAUGAAUAAUAGAGGAAUAGUUAGAGCUUUGUUGUAUUGUGGAUAUUCAAUAAAGAGCAUUAUAAAGAA